rnacentral:lncRNA from 1 species
UCACUCUUCCUCUCUUCCCAAGAGGACACUUACUCUCUGAUUUUGUUUAAAGUCUCCAGAGGGCAGAAUCCUAAAGACCUAAAAGGGAGAUCAUCUCAGGCAACAUUGUGCCUCGUGAUUGCCGGCACCUCCCUGAGCCACCUCAACUACACAUUUCUUUACGUGGGCUCUCAUAUGGAUGCCCUGCAGGAUCAGGACACUCUGAACACUUUCCGGAAAUACCUCAUUGGAUGUGCUUCUGGAAUCAAUAUCCCAUCUUGUGGGGACCAACAGAACCCUCUCCAAGUAUGACAAGUGCCGGACAGCAUCCAACAAUCACUAAGAGGAUACCAAUUCUGCUCAUCAGACGUGAUUCAUUCUACCACUUACAACCUGAAAACGGUGGGCGAGAGGAAGUCUUACUGGAUUACUGGCCCGCCGCCAGCCAUCUGACAGGUGGACAGCUGCUGGGGGAGAACUCAGGGAAACCAAGAUCAGCAAGGCCGCUUCCGUCAUCUCCUAACACACAUCAGGGGAGAGCCUGA